rnacentral:rRNA from 1 species
UAGUCCACGCCGUAAACGAUGUCUACUUGGAGGUUGUGGCCUUGAGCCGUGGCUUUCGGAGCUAACGCGUUAAGUAGACCGCCUGGGGAGUACGGUCGCAAGAUUAAAACUCAAAUGAAUUGACGGGGGCCCGCACAAGCGGUGGAGCAUGUGGUUUAAUUCGAUGCAACGCGAAGAACCUUACCUACUCUUGACAUUCUACAGAAGCCAGCGGAGACGCAGGUGUGCCUUCGGGAACUGUAAGACAGGUGCUGCAUGGCUGUCGUCAGCUCGUGUUGUGAAAUGUUGGGUUAAGUCCCGCAACGAGCGCAACCCUUAUUCUUAGUUGCCAGCACAUAAUGGUGGGGACUCUAGGAAGACUGCCGGCGUAAGCCGUGAGGAAGGUGGGGACGACGUCAAAGUCAUCAUGGCCUUUAUGCCUAGGGCUACACACGUGCUACAAUGGUUGCAUACAGCGGGUAGCGAAAUCGCGAGGUGGAGCGUAAUCUUGUAAAGUGCAUCCC